rnacentral:rRNA from 1 species
UACGUAGGGUGCGAGCGUUAAUCGGAAUUACUGGGCGUAAAGCGUGCGCAGGCGGUUGUGCAAGACAGGUGUGAAAUCCCCGGGCUUAACCUGGGAACUGCGCUUGUGACUGCACGACUAGAGUACGGUAGAGGGGGGUGGAAUUCCUGGUGUAGCAGUGAAAUGCGUAGAUAAUCAGGGAGGAACAUCGAUGGCGGAAAGGCAGCCCCCCUGGACCUGUAACC